GUUUUUAUAGUUUAAAAAAAACAUUGGUCUUGUAAACCAAAGAUAAAUACUGCUUUUAAAAACU
rnacentral:tRNA from 1 species